CUAUGUACACGUACAAGCUGGAAAUGCUUUUAAAAAAAACUGAAGAAGAGGUAGGCAUGGAGCUCAUGCCAGGCUGAUGAUGCAGUCGACCUGAGAACAAGGCUGGGUAGGAACCACCCUAGGGGCUGCAGAGUCUGCCGUGCACUGAAUACUGCAUGACUAGGCUCUGUCGACACCGGUACAGUGAGUACAAGAUGUUCCCAUAGAUCUACCUGGAUGGAGCCGAUCCAAUUCACCUUUCCAACCGCCCUUCCCUUUUGUGACCACCAAGAUGUUAACCUCUCCGACAUCAAGGAGCUCCACCCAAGUCAGUUCAAGUCAAUC